UAAAGUGAGGCACUGGCCUUUAAAGAUUCAGUAACAAAUAAUUUGAAGUAAAUCUGUGAAGUGUAUGAGGAGCCAGUGAAUAUCGGUGAGAGUAAUACGUAAACUGGACCCAGUGGAAAUGAAAAUGUAGCUCGUGGGAUCCUGGAUGAACCGAGUUUGUUCGGGGGAAGCUUUGAUAAGUCAGCAAAUAGUAUUUUAAAGGCAUUAUAAUUUUCAACAUCUACAGGAAAUGGAGAAUACAGCCUUCAUAAUUUCAUUCUUUAUCACUAUCCAAUAACAUGAGCUGGGAUAAGUCCACAGAACACUUAGGUCAUUGUCCAGACAUCCACAUGAGUUGGAACACUGUUUCCUCACUAACUUUGAGGGAUGCAGUACUACCUUCAAGGCAAGCAAGGCCACACAGGACCUAUUCCAAGUGGGCAAGAGAUCUUAUUUAAUACCAUGCUGACAUAGCUGUGUGGAGAUCAACUGAAGAAUAUCCUUUCAAUUCCCUUCCAUGCAGAGAGCAGCCAUGGCUGCAUUUUCACCACAGAUUGGUGAAAUAACUCUACAAAGAUAUUUGAAUUAUGUAAGAUUGUACCCAUGAAAGCUGCAGAAAACAUACGUUGAAGGAAACACAAGGACCCUGCUAAUGUCAUCUGUUUUCAAAUGAAAUUUAGUAAAGUAGGCAAUGACAACUCCUUUCGGUCAAUAUAUGGUACUGACCAUGUUCAUUUAGAUGUCUGAAGAUUGGCAAUCCUCCUGAUGUAAGAAAUUUCCACAAGGAGGUGAGUGUGGACAAUAAAUAAAAAAUAGCCUCGGUAAAAAUGGUGAAUCCCUUCUUGUUAUUUUGAUUUAGACUUCAGAUGUUCCUUCUUU